AUUGAACGCUGGCGGCAGGCCUAACACAUGCAAGUCGAACGGUAACAGGCUGUAUGGGAUCCCUUCGGGGUGAACUUGGCGCUGACGAGUGGCGAACGGGUGAGUAACGCGUAGGAAUCUACCCAGGAGUGGGGACAACCCGGAGAAAUCCGGGCUAAUACCGCAUACGCCCUACGGGGCAAAGUGGGGGACCUCUUCGGAGGCCUCACGCUUCUGGAUGAGCCUGCGUCGGAUUAGCUUGUUGGUGAGGUAAGAGCUCACCAAGGCGACGAUCCGUAGCUGGUCUGAGAGGAUGACCAGUCACACUGGGACUGAGACACGGCCCAGACUCCUACGGGAGGCAGCAGUGGGGAAUAUUGGACAAUGGGGGAAACCCUGAUCCAGCCAUGCCGCGUGUGUGAAGAAGGCCCUAGGG
rnacentral:rRNA from 1 species